UGUUAUUGUUAUUACCCUGCAGCUCAAGACCGGUUACAAACUGAAACUAAGCAGGGCUGAGCCUGGUCUUUAUCUGGAUGAGAGACCACAUGGGAAAACUAGGUUGUUGUUGGAG
rnacentral:rRNA from 1 species